AGACUCGGAGCCACCUUCAAAACGAACAAAUCUUUCGCCUUUUACUAAAGAUUUCCGUGGAGGUGGCUCACAACGAGCAUUUCAUCCAAUUUUUUUCCGUCGCCCUGCUCCUUGCGAGUAGGG